ACCCUCGCCACUCAAGAAGAAUUGAAGCAAAGGGAUUACAGACGCUGCUCGGGAACAGCCCAGCACUCCAACUGCCUGGUCGCCCGUGGGCCUGCGGGGCUUGGCAGUUCGGUGGCGGCCGCGCCUUGUGAGCGCUAAACCGGGAAGAAGACGCAAGCAAGGCGCACGGCUAUGAGCGCGCCCCUAUCCCGCCCGGGCCCUCUGCAGCCCCCGACUGUUGGAGAGCCUCUCAGAGGGGCAAGACUCUGGGCCGCCCUCUGAGCCCACCUCCUGGCCACAACACUGUUAACGCCUCUCCAGCUCAGGCCGGAAGCACUAUGCUGCCUCCAGAAGCCGGUAGAUCCGGAGCUGGUCGACCCCAGACUGAUUCUCAACAGGUGGCUGGGUUGCUUUUCUCUCUAUUCCAAAUUCGAAUCACCCGCUGAUGCACCUCAGGAAGAGACUGCAACCGAAAGAGUGAAAUG